GGCUGUGGAGACAUGCCCUCUAUGACUACUGUCAGGAUUUAGUUUAAUUCUUAAAGUAUUAUUUUGUAUUUAUAGCAAGCAAAAAUUGAUUUCUGUCUCUUAUUUAGCACAGGAUAACUAUGUAAUUAAUUUUUAUAAGGACUACUGUACCAUUUAUUUUGAAAAUAAAUAGUUGAAAGUGGUUUCUUGAUUAACAAUCUCUAUCAGUUAUAUAUUAAUAUUUUUAUGAAUAUAACCAAGCAGGAUGUGAAUGCCAUA
rnacentral:lncRNA from 1 species